rnacentral:rRNA from 1 species
UACGUAGGGUGCAAGCGUUGUCCGGAAUUAUUGGGCGUAAAGGGCUCGUAGGCGGUUUGUCGCGUCGGGAGUGAAAACUCAGGGCUUAACCCUGAGCCUGCUUCCGAUACGGGCAGACUAGAGGUAUGCAGGGGAGAACGGAAUUCCUGGUGUAGCGGUGAAAUGCGCAGAUAUCAGGAGGAACACCGGUGGCGAAGGCGGUUCUCUGGGCAUUACCUGACGCUGAGGAGCGAAAGCGUGGGGAGCGAACAGG